ACCGAAGAGGGUGAUUAUCAAACCAAGCUGCGCAACUUGAGCCGAUUUCUGGAACAAGGGAACAAGGCAAAAGUGACCUUAUGGUUUCGAGGUCGGGAAAUGGCGCACCAGAAUCUCGGAAUGCAGCUUCUCAGACGGAUAGAAGCGGACUUGGAAGAGCUUGGCAAGGUCGAGCAAUUCCCAAAGCUGGAGGGGCGGCGCCUGUCCAUGGUAUUGGUACCGAGAAAAUAGACCCUUUCAGGGAAAUUCGUGGGUAGGAUUUUAGGAUUUCGGAAAAACGGAAUUCCGG
rnacentral:misc_RNA from 1 species